rnacentral:lncRNA from 10 species
UGUCUCUUUGCAGAAACCACACUGCAUUGUCAUGAAAGGGCCAUUUGAACAAGGUAGCUACAAUGAAAUUAUCUCAAUGCAUUUCAAUCACUUUGCAACAUCAAGGUUCAUUUCUCAGUAACAGUCUCUUUGACAAUAAAUGAAUUGCGUGAUUGGUGUGUGUUUGCGUGUGUGCAUGUGUGUGACACCCCUUCAUGAUGAAUUCCUGGGUAUGCCAAUGUUACAAGUGAUUGGUCUUUGCAUCCAUCUCUUAGCAUAAAUCCCCAGCAUCAACGUGACAUGUUGAGCAGCACCGAGCCCCCUGGAUUCUCUCAGUCUUGGUGAGAGAGGGAGUGGGGACUGUGUUCACGCUGUUACAAAAGGACAUCUAAGAGGGACAGCAGGGAGGAAGCUGGGCAGAAAUGCUCCGAAUCAAUAGCUCUUUCUUCUUGGUGGCUUGGAGCUUGCAAUCUCUCAGCCUGUGUCGAGUCAUCAUGAAACUGAAGAAUCCUUGGAAAGUCACUGGGUUGGGCACUUUUAAAAGUAGAGUCUUUUCUGUUCUGCUUAGAAACUCUCAUGGCAUGCUACAGAGAAAAGAGGAGCAGAGGCCCACAGAGCUCCCUUCACCAGAGAAGGGAGCGAGGAGGUCAGAGGGUGGAGGAGGUGGGCUGGGAUCUCCCAGGGCAGCACCUGGGCGGAGUUCUGGAGCCACUCCCAGCCUGGGGAGAAGCCCUGCCCCUACUGUUUGCUAAAAGUUUGGACAAAUCCUUCUCUGCCCUGUACCUCAGGUUUUCCAUCUGUAAAGUGGGAAGACAACCAUCCCACAGAGGUGCCAUGAAAGAUUUUUAGGGAGUACCUAAAAGGUUCUUUAGGUGCUAGUCAAGUCCCGGGGUCUCGAUGUGUCAUUAACUUGCUGUGUGGUCUUGAGCAAGUUACUUAAGAUUUGUUAGGUCUCCUUCCUUUCUUUAUAACAGGGUAAUAACCUACCUCCCUAUUUAACUUAUGAGUAAAGCAGAAUGGCUGUGAGAGUGGGCCUGGAGCCAAAGAUACCUGACUGUAAAUCUGAGCUCUGCUCCAUCAUCUUGGGUAGUCUGCUAAGGUUUCUGUCUCCUGUCCAAACCUUCAUCUGUAAACGGGAGCAAAUCAUCUCUAAUUUGUAGACCUGUUGUGAGAAUUUAAUGAUAAUGCAUGUAAAAUGCCUAGCAGGGGCCUGUCACAUAGAAUGUACCCUAUUGAUGGUAGCUGCAGGUAUAUUACAAGGUUGUACUGAAAAACAAAUGAAAGAAAGCAAUCUUUCCUUGAAAAAUGCACAGAGCUCCACAAAUCUAUGACAUCAUGAUGAUUAUGAUGAUUGUUGCAAAUGUCACAUCUUCAUGUGGAGUCGAGGUGGGCAUUAGCCACACUGUUCCCAUUACUCAAACCCCAGAUGCUCCAAUGACAGAGCCUCUGCUGAGAGGCUGACGUCAGGGAGAGGUGGAGGAGGGCAGAUCUCCCAACCCUUGGCUUCCACCAGCUUCCUCUCACCGUGGAGCCCUAAGGCCUCAGCAGACACGCUGACUUCUUUUCAGAACAAAGCACAGCAAAACAAAACACACAGCGGCUGCUGAAUGGAAAACACUUGCACUCUAGAAAGGCUGGCAAAUUCCCUGCCUCGUCCCACCCUGCACGGACAGGGCCCUCUCUGCCCAGCCACCUCCUGGUGCACCCCGCUGUAUCUCUGACCACACUUUAAAUGUGCACCCUAGGAGGUGGAUGCUCUGCAGAGAGUGUGUGUGUCUGAUCUGAGGCCUGUGGUCCCCUGAAGAAAGACCAACAGGACUGGGUGCCAUCCUGUGCCCAAGUUGUUCCCAGGAGGAGAAAGCCUGUAGGAGGGGAGCAAGCUCCCAUUCUGCCUCCAUUCCUUGCAAGGUCAGCCAGCUACAUGCUUUCUUCUGGCUGGGCCCCUGAGGGCAAUUGUUGCUUUUUCCUCUUGAGGAGUCUUUUUAUUUUCAGAGUGGCAGGGAGGAUGGUUUAUGGUGAGUAUGGACCUAAAUGAGAAGGGCUGGGCUGCCAUGAGCGGCUGCUGCAGGCUGUGCACUGCACAAGGCCAAGGCUUACCAUUUGCAUGGUCUGCGGAGGAAUGGUGCUCCUGAGAGCUGUUCUCUGCAGCAGCUUUGCUCAUGGGGCACUGGUGAGCAGCAAACAGAAUCAUCGUCUUCAUCACCAUCAGCAGGAGCAGUGACUUUACCAAUGAUUGAUCAGCUGUUAUGUGCCAGGCUCUGUGCUAAGUGCUUUACAUUUUAUCCUCCCCUCCACCCUAUAUCAGCUUCCUGAGGCCUCACCAGAAGCUGAGAAGAUACUGGAACCGUGCUUCCUGUACAGCCUGCAGAACUAAUCUGGCCCCUGUGCUGUGAGAAGCCUACCCCACAUGGAAAUAUACACAGAGGAAAAUGGAGGCAGUGGCCAAAAACAUAAGUCAAGCUCCUAGUCAACAGCCAGUGCUGAUUAUCAGCCAUGUGAGUGAACCACUAGGGCCUUCUAGCCCAGUCAAGCCUUCAGAUGACUGCAGCCCCCGAUGUCACUAUACGGAGCAGGUGAACCACUCAACUGAACAUUGCCAAGCCACAGAACCAUGAAAGGGAAGACUGGAAAUAGAGUCCUUUAUCUCAGAUAUCAAACCCUGGCCCAGGAUACACAAGACCAGGAGUCAUCACCAUCAGUAACAGUAACAACAGCUUCAUUAACAAGUUGCUGUUCCGACGUGGGCUCCGGGGUGGGGAAGGAAGGAGGGCGUUCGGCUCAACGUCCAGGAGAGGCACCGGCGAACUCGAGAGCCAAGAGCGGCACUCCCACCUGGGCACUCCUUGCUGAUGGACCGGGACCUCCUCUCCCAUUUCUCCGGGGCCUCCAGGGCCCUCCCGCACAUUCAGCAUGAUCUCUGAGGAGUUCACUAGCUUUCCUCCCUCCGCUCUCCAGCUCCCGUUCCUACCAAAUGCACCAAUCAUCACUAAGCCAGGUCAAAGGCCAUGGGAUCAGCUGUGAUCUCUCCCUUCCUUUUUCAUUCUCCUCUCCUCAUAUCCAAACUGUCAUUAAACUCAGUGUUUCUUCCUUCAGGCUGUUUCUUGAAUUGGUUUCUUCUCUAUCCCACUAUUACUGUCCUGAUCCGUGCUAAUCCAACAGUUUCUGCCCCCACCCCAGGACAGCUUGUGUUAUCACGGCCAGGUGGAUCUUUCUAGAACACCAAGCUCAGCGUAUCCCUUCUGAUCAACAGAGAAGGAGAGGAGAGCCUACACUGUGCUGGGUCACUGUGUUACGCUAUGUGCUUGUUUCAUUUAAUACCGU